AGCGAACGCUGGCGGCAGGCCUAACACAUGCAAGUCGAACGGACCUUUCGGGGUUAGUGGCGGACGGGUGAGUAACACGUGGGAACGUGCCUUUAGGUUCGGAAUAACUCAGGGAAACUUGUGCUAAUACCGAAUGUGCCCUUCGGGGGAAAGAUUUAUCGCCUUUAGAGCGGCCCGCGUCUGAUUAGCUAGUUGGUUGAGGUAAUGGCUCACCAAGGCGACGAUCAGUAGCUGGUCUGAGAGGAUGAUCAGCCACAUUGGGACUGAGACACGGCCCAAACUCCUACGGGAGGCAGCAGUGGGGAAUCUUGCGCAAUGGGCGAAAGCCUGACGCAGCCAUGCCGCGUGAAUGAUGAAGGUCUUAGGAUUGUAAAAUUCUUUCACCGGGGACGAUAAUGACGGUACCCGGAGAAGAAGCCCCGGCUAACUUCGUG
rnacentral:rRNA from 1 species